UACGAAGGGGGCUAGCGUUGUUCGGAAUCACUGGGCGUAAAGCGCACGCAGGCGGAUUGAUAAGUCAGGGGUGAAAUCCCGGAGCUCAACUUCGGAAUUGCCUUUGAUACUGUCUGUCUUGAGUCCGGGAGAGGUGAGUGGAAUUCCUAGUGUAGAGGUGAAAUUCGUAGAUAUUAGGAAGAACACCAGUGGCGAAGGCGGCUCACUGGCCCGGUACUGACGCUCAUGUGCGAAGCG
rnacentral:rRNA from 1 species